UUUUGUUCAUUUUUUAAAAACAAAGUUUAGUUUAAACUAUUUAUUUUUGGUUAAAGAAAAACAAAGUUGUAAGUUUCAGUAACAUAGAAUAUAUUUUCUUAUUUAAUUAUAAUAUUAAAUUUAUUUAUUUAAUUAUAAUAAAAAAUCUUUUGAAUAUAUGUAACUAUAUUAAUAUAUAUAAAAAUAUUUUUUUUAAAUGUGGGAGCCCCACAAAAAUAGGGGGCCCAGUGAGAUGUUUCACAAAACGUCCCUCAAACCCAUUUCUUAAGGAUUAGGUUAGGGGUAUACAAAAUAUCCGUAAAAUUUGAUUCGAUCCGAUCCGAAAAAAUUUGAAUAUCUGCAACUUUACGAAUAAAAGUAAAUAUUAAAUUCAAUAUCCGUAAAAACAGAGAAAUCACAAAUACUUAUAUUUACAAAAACGGAUAUCUGAUCCAAUCCGUUAUACACAUAUAUAUAACUUAUAUAUAUUUUAUAAUUUUUAUAUUUCUAUAUAAGUUUUAUAAUAUUUUUAUUUACUAAAUUAAGUAUUUAGUUAUGAAAUUUUUAUAAGUAUGUCGUUUUCAAAAUUUUGUAAUGAAAUAUUCUUAUUUUCUAUUAAAUUUUCUUUUCUUUUUUUUUAUUUUUUUUUCAAAAGAUAAUUUUCUUUUUUU
rnacentral:lncRNA from 1 species